rnacentral:rRNA from 1 species
AAUGAACGCUGGCGGCGCGCCUAAUACAUGCAAGUCGAGCGAGAAGACGUAGCAAUACGUUUGUAAAGCGGCGAACGGGUGAGGAAUACAUGGGUAACCUACCCUAGAGUGGGGAAUAACUAGCCGAAGGUUAGCUAAUACCGCGUACGCUCCUUGGACUUCGGUUCAGGGAGGAAAGCGAUGCCGAGGGUAUCGCGCUCUUGGAUGGGCUCAUGUCCUAUCAGCUGUUGGUGAGGUAACGGCUCACCAAGGCUUCGACGGGUAGCUGGUCUGAGAGGACGAUCAGCCACACUGGCACUGCGACACGGGCCAGACUCCUACGGGAGGCAGCAGUAAGGAAUAUUGCGCAAUGGGCGAAAGCCUGACGCAGCGACGCCGCGGUGGGGGA